UACGUAGGGGCAAGCGUUGUUCGGAAUUACUGGGCGUAAAGGGCGCGUAGGCGGCAUGGCAAGUCGGGAGGUGAAAGCCCGGGGCUCAACCCCGGAGGGUCUCUCGAAACUGCCAAGCUAGAGUGCGGAAGAGGCAACUGGAAUUCCCAGUGUAGCGGUGAAAUGCGUAGAUAUUGGGAAGAACACCGGAGGCGAAGGCGGGUUGCUGGGCCGACACUGACGCUGAGGCGCGAAAGCCAGGGGAGCGAAACGGG
rnacentral:rRNA from 1 species